GAAUUCGCCCUUAGAGUUUGAUCCUGGCUCAGAACGAACGCUGGCGGCAUGCCUAACACAUGCAAGUCGAACGAACCCUUCGGGGUUAGUGGCGCACGGGUGCGUAACGCGUGGGAACCUGCCUUUAGGUUCGGAAUAACUCAGAGAAAUUUGAGCUAAUACCGGAUAAUGUCUUCGGACCAAAGAUUUAUCGCCUUUAGAUGGGCCCGCGUUAGAUUAGAUAGUUGGUGGGGUAAUGGCCUACCAAGUCGACGAUCUAUAGCUGGUCUGAGAGGAUGAUCAGCCACACUGGGACUGAGACACGGCCCAGACUCCUACGGGAGGCAGCAGUGGGGAAUAUUGGACAAUGGGCGAAAGCCUGAUCCAGCAAUGCCGCGUGAGUGAUGAAGGCCUUAGGGUUGUAAAGCUCUUUUACUAGGGAUGAUAAUGACAGUACCUAGAGAAUAAGCUCCGGCUAACUCCGUGCCAGCAGCCGCGGUAAUAAGGGCG
rnacentral:rRNA from 1 species